rnacentral:rRNA from 1 species
UACGUAGGGUGCGAGCGUUAAUCGGAAUUACUGGGCGUAAAGCGUGCGCAGGCGGUUUUGUAAGCCAGAUGUGAAAGCCCCGGGCUUAACCUGGGAAUGGCAUUGGAAACUGGCGAGCUGGAGUGUGGCAGAGGGGGGUGGAAUUCCGCGUGUAGCAGUGAAAUGCGUAGAUAUGCGGAGGAACACCGAUGGCGAAGGCAAUCCCCUGGGCCUGCACUGACGCUCAUGCACGAAAGCGUGGGGAGCAAACAGG